AGUCAGUGACGCUUCAACUGUCAGAUUCUCAGGUGGAAUUCGUCGUGGGUUUGGGAUGGAAGUGAGAUGUGAUCUGGGAAGGCUGCCGAGAGUGGGGUUCAGCUUAUUUCUCAUCCAUCGGUUGUAUGCUUCCAAUGUGAAGUCCUUCCACAAAUGAAGAACCAGGAAGAAGUGAAAGGGAUAGGAAGAAAUCAAGUCGCUUAAAGCCAUGUCCCUGGGCUUAGUGACUUUCACAAGUGUGGCCAUAAACUCCCAAGAUGAGUGAGGAUGGCCGAAUCUUGCCCAGAGGAGUUUGUACAGGAAGGUGAUACUGGACAACUACAGGAUCCUGGUUGCAGUGGGUCUCUGCAUUUUUAAACCAGAUGUCAUCCUGUUGCUGUAUCAAGAGAGAGAGCCGUGGACAUAAAAGGAGAGGCAUCCAGAGGUCCGGGCCCAGCAGAGAAUCGAUCCUGGGGAGAAACCCUGUGAAUGUAUUGAACGUGGGAGAGCUUCAGCCAGAGCACCCAUCUCGCUCAGCAUCAGAGAAUACACCCAGGAGAAAAACCCUUUGCAUGUGCUGGCUGUGGGAAGGCGGUCAGUCAGAGUUCAUCUUAACAGCAGGGAGUUCCCAUGUAAGCAGUGUAGUAAAGCCCCCGGCCAGCUGGGACACCUUCCUCAGCAUCACAGGGAGAGAAACCCUAGGAGCGGAAACGUGGAAAAACCUGCAGGCAGAGUGUGCAUCUUGCUCAUCAUCAGGGUCCUCGUCGGGGAGAGUCAUCCCCAGGCGCUUCGUUCUCACUCCCAGGCCACCAAGCCCUGUCCUUUCAGUCUUCUGAUGCCUUUUUCCAGUCCACAGUAUAUCGUCGUAGUGCAGAACACAACUGUGUCUUCUGUGUCUCUGUGACAGUAUGAGACUGUUGUCCAUCUUGUGCCUCUCAGUGCUUUUCAGCACUGUGACCAGUUUCAUCUUUUAAAAAUAAAAACA